UUCUUUUAUAUGAAGGUAGCUGAGUCAGAUAUGAAUGCAUGUUAUUGAGGGCAUGUAAAUAAAGAAUAAUACUAACUUAAUAUACUACAUAUAUACUUAAUAACAAUACAAAUAGGUUAUAAUUAUGUCGCUAUGGUAUAUGAGAAAGUCAAGUAAAUAUCUAAGUAAUAGGGCAAUGGGAUGUGAGAUAUUAUAAGUAUUUAUAGUUUAAAAACAGUCAAAUCAACGCCAAGCAAACCUAAACUUAAUGACACUGAUUAAAGCUUAUAAUUAAACAAGAGAGACUUACAAGAAGAUUGUGUUUAAUAUGACUACAGAAUAGUGGGAAUCAUAAUGGAAGGAAGACAAAAUAAGAUGCAACGUACGGGUUUUAGCUACAAUAAUUAGUAAGAUUGAAGACUUCUUGACGAUGUUUAUAAUGUAUCCUAUAAAAUAUUCACUCACCAGAAUCGUCCAAAGAUUCAGGAGGGACAGAUAUCUACUCCAAACCUGGUAUCUGUUGCAGAUAUUCAAGAAAAUUAUAGGAAAACAAAUGUGAAUGACGGACAGAUUUAGCAAGAUGAAAGAUUUAAGCCUACAAGCACGCUACUGUUUCUCACAUCAAAGGUACAUUGUUAAUUAUGAACAUCAAUA
rnacentral:lncRNA from 1 species